GAUGAACGCUGGCGGCGUGCCUAAUACAUGCAAGUCGAGCGAACAGACGAGGAGCUUGCUCCUCUGACGUUAGCGGCGGACGGGUGAGUAACACGUGGAUAACCUACCUAUAAGACUGGGAUGACUUCGGGAAACCGGAGCUAAUACCGGAGAAUAUAUUGAACCGCAUGGUUCAAUAGUGAAAGACGGUUUUGCUGUCACUUAUAGAUGGAUCCGCGCCGCAUUAGCUAGUUGGUAAGGUAACGGCUUACCAAGGCAACGAUGCGUAGCCGACCUGAGAGGGUGAUCGGCCACACUGGAACUGAGACACGGUCCAGACUCCUACGGGAGGCAGCAGUAGGGAAUCUUCCGCAAUGGGCGAAAGCUUGACGGAGCAACGCCGCGUGAGUGAUGAAGGUCUUCGGAUCGUAAAACUCUGUUAUUAGGGAAGAACAAAUGUGUAAGUAACUAUGCACGUCUUGACGGUACCUAAUCAGAAAGCCACGGCUAACUACGUG
rnacentral:rRNA from 1 species